GCCAUUACCAUCUUACUGGGCAGCAUUGGAUGUUCUCUGUUUUUCUAAUACUGCCUGGUAAUGAUGAUUGUGGUGUUUCGUGCAC
ensembl:miRNA gga-mir-200b gga-mir-200b